rnacentral:rRNA from 1 species
UACGAAGGGGGCUAGCGUUGCUCGGAAUCACUGGGCGUAAAGCGCACGUAGGCGGAUUGUUAAGUCAGGGGUGAAAUCCUGGAGCUCAACUCCAGAACUGCCUUUGAUACUGGCGAUCUCGAGUCCGGGAGAGGUGAGUGGAACUGCGAGUGUAGAGGUGAAAUUCGUAGAUAUUCGCAAGAACACCAGUGGCGAAGGCGGCUCACUGGCCCGGUACUGACGCUGAGGUGCGAAAGCAUGGGGAUCAAACAGG